CACUUGCAUUUGAGGUUAUGUUAUAAAAUAUAAAUUUUUUAACAUGAUCGAACCAAAUAUUGUGGAUUUCUUAUUCAACGACGAUGUAAACUUAAACGGCGUAGUGUAUAUUCUAGAUGAUAAUGCGGUUGAUGAUGAGGCCAAUCAUCAUGCGCAGCCUGUGCGUAAUGAAAAUUACGUUGAAGUUACAGUACCCCAGUACACAGUUAGUGAGUUCAAGAAUCACUUUCGAAUGUCCCGGAUGGCAGUGGAGCAGCUAAUAGGUCUUGUUAGUAAUCAUUUACCCGAUAAACAUUCGGUUCCGAUUGAAAAGCAAGUUCUUUUUUCCAUUUGGCUUCUGGCAAAGCAAGAAAGCUUCUUGGCUGUCGGGGACAGAUUUAAUCUGUCGAGUGGAUCAGGCCACUAUAUUUUUAUGAAUUUUAUUUCUGCGGUGGGUCAUUUAACGCACCAAUUUAUUGAGUGGCCAAAUGCGAGAACAUGUAACGAAAUAGCAUCAAGAAUAGAAACAAAAUAUGGCAUACCAGGUGUCGUGGGUGCUAUAGAUGGAACCCACAUACAAAUAAAACAACCAACACAUAACCCCGUAGAUUUCUUUAAUAGAAAAGAUGUACACUCGGUGGUUUUACAAGGAAUUUGCAACGAUAAAUUAAUAUUUACAGAUGUAUAUAUUGGUAUGCCAGGCCGACUGCAUGAUGCGCGAAUUUUUAGAAAUAGCCCAAUCUAUAAUAGACUUGUAAACAAUCCUGCUUUAUUAACACCACAGCAACACUUACUCGGAGAUGCAGCUUAUCCGCUGCUUGAUAAUCUCUUAAAACCAUACAGGGAUAAUGGCCACCUUACAGAAGUACAAAUUCGGUUUAACGAAGUGAUGAGUAGCAUACGGUCGAUGAUCGAAAGGUGCUUUGGUCUAUUGAAAGGAAAAUGGAGAAGACUAAAAUAUCUUGAUAUGUCUCUAGCAGAUAAACUACCUCAAGUUAUAUUGGCAGCUUGUAUUCUGCAUAACUUUAUUCUGAUCAUCGAUAAUGAUGCAGAUAACCAGAAUGACAAUGGUCACAAUGGUGAUGACAUAGGUAUACAGCAUGCAGAAUUUUAUGAGGAAGAUGUUGGAAGAAAUGCAGAAAUAAAAAGAGAUUAUAUAGCUUCACUAUUGUAAUAGAUAACGUGGACCGUUAUUCGAAAAAACGAUGAUGAACUUGACGCAAUUCCUAAGAAUUGGAUUACGUUCCCUAACAUAGCAGUUUAUCCAGACAAGGGAACAGCAACAGUUACCAAAAUGGCAAAGAAUGGGACACCUCCAGAAAGUGAUUGGUUACAAGUGCCAAUCACUGUCGUAAAAGAAAAUUAUGCAAGUUUCGAUCGCUGCAUGAAAGAUGCGAUUCGGUUUGACAGGGGGG